GUUCCACACUCCCAGCCUGUCUCACCUUGUAGAUGACUUUGGGCUCAAAGGAGCAGACGAUGCUGCAGUUGUACAGGACCGAGUGCUUCUUGUGCAAAGCUGAAAGAGCUGCUGCGGCCUGCCAAGGAAUGGACAGCCACGUGGUUAUUACAGUGUUUGGCUGCUGCAUCUGGCAGCCAGCUGGGGCCUGUCCAUCCAGGUCGGAACCUGCUACGUCCUGGGUCCUUUCCAUCCGGCGCCGAGGGCUACUACAGUGCUGUCGAGCGUCAUGAGCCGUGGUUUUGGUCCGGCGUUGUGUCCUGCUUCUUCUGCCAACCUGUUGGGGACCACCGCGUCGAUCCACCUGCCUGACCCGGUAGCCCUGGAGCCGUCAGCCAAUAUGGUGUCCUGGAUCAGAGUCGGUCUUGUGACCAGCAGUUCCUGUGUACCUGCUCUCGCCGUGGGGCCACCGCAUUGAUACAUCUGCUUGGACCGGGAACUGCCGUCGACUCCCCUGAGACACUGCGUGUCAACACCCGGCCGUGGACACACCCCUCCGACUAUCAGGUAAUAUUAAACUCACUAAAACACUAGCAACACAAUAGAAAGAUAAGGGAUUUCCCGGGAUUAUCCUAGUAAAUGUGUUUAAAAACAGCGGAAUACGUCCCAAUGCUAUCGCGUUUUUUUUUUAAACUCGUUUUUUUUCCUAGUCCGUCGCUAUCAAUAUCCUCAAACACAAAUCUUUCAUCCUCGCUCAAAUUAAUGGGGAAAUUGUCGUUUUCUCGGUCCGAAUAACUGUUUUUGUUGGAGACUCCCAUUAAAAUCAAUGUGAAUAUAUGAGGAGCCAUCAACAUGUGACGUGAUCGUCUGCGACUUCCGGUAAAGGGAGGCUUUUUCAGGAAGUACCAAAAGUGGCAAACUUUAUUAUCGAUUUUCUCUACUAAAUCCUUUCAGCAAAAAUAUGGCAAUAUCGCAAAAUGAUCAAGUAUGACACAUAAAAUGGACCUGGACCUGCUAUUCCUGUUUAAAUAAGAAAAUCUCAUUUCAGUAGGCCUUUAAGUGCUUGAGUACCACUCGUCAUUUGGAAGGUAGAUCUGGACUUGGCAUUAUUCACCUAAAUGUUAGAGGUCUACUUCCCAAACUGGAUCUAGUGAGGAUCUGGGCUAAAUAUACUGAAACAAACAUACUUGUCUUGUCUGAAACCUGGCUUAGGAAAUCAAUCACGGAUAAAGAUAUUGCAAUUAAGGGCUAUAAUGUUUUUUGCUGUACCGUCCUAGAAAAGGUGGCGGAAUUGCAACAAGUGGAUUCACGCUAGGGCUGGGCGAUAUGGCCUUUUAUUAAAAUCUCAAUAUUUUUAGGUCAUGUCACGAUACACGAUAUAUAUCUCGAUAUUUUGCCUUAGCCUUGAAUUAACACUUGAUGCAUAUAAUCACAGAAGUAUGAUGAUUCUAUGUGUCUACAUUAAAACAUUCUUGUUCAUAUUGCAUUAAUAUAUGCUCAUUUUAAACUUUCAUGCAAAGAGGGAAAUCACAACUCAGUCAGUUGACCAUAACUGUAUUUAUUAAACAGUUAUUAAGCAGUGGCACAAACAUUCAUGUCAUUUCCAAAACAAAGUGCAAGAUUGUCAGAGACAUUUUAAAACAAGCUAUUAGUGCACUUUUGUGCAUGAUGUCUCUAAGAUGACGUAUCGAAACAACACUAAAAGAGCACUUUUUGUACAGAACGCCACUACAAUAGUUUAAAACAAAUAAAGUGCACUUUGGUGCAUGAUGUCACAUAAGAUAUUUCAAUAAGUGUCAAAUAAAAAUUAGCUGCAUAAUAGGAAAUCAAAUAGUUUAUGUCCUUCGCUAUGUGGUAGGUUACUGUGGACGUUAUCUCCUUCUGUUGUUGACUAUUUGUUUCAUACUGUGUUGAUCUGGAAAUGGUUUCUUGGUCAUUUUGUGGGAGUGGCACCGAACGGAGAUGUUGACAUGCAGAGUUUCAAGCACUCCUUAUUCUCUAGUAGGUGACUUUUCAAGUGAAGCUACAAAUUAGCGGUAAGGCUUUUGACUACUUGACAUAUUACGGUUGCAUAUUGCAAUAUCUUUAUCCGUGACAACAUCUUCCCGCUUGAGGCCAAUCCACCGCCAGACGAUGGACCCUGUACUCUGUUUCUUGGGAAUUAAUUCUUCUUCCUUCAUUUGUU